GAUGAACGCUAGCGGCAGGCCUAAUACAUGCAAGUCGAGGGGCAGCGGGGUAGCAAUACCGCCGGCGACCGGCGCACGGGUGCGUAACACGUAUACAAUCUGCCUUUAACAGGGGGAUAGCCUUUCGAAAGAGAGAUUAAUACCCCAUAACAAUGACUUUGGCAUCAAGGUUAUUUGAAAGCUCCGGCGGUUAAAGAUGAGUAUGCGUCUGAUUAGCUAGUUGGUGAGGUAACGGCUCACCAAGGCGACGAUCAGUAGGGGAUCUGAGAGGACUACCCCCCACACGGAUACUGAGACACGGAUCCGACUCCUACGGGAGGCAGCAGUAAGGAAUAUUGGACAAUGCCCGCAAGGGUGAUCCAGCCAUGCCGCGUGCAGGAAGAAGGCCCUAUGGGUCGUAAACUGCUUUUACACCAGAGAAAACCCCCCUUCGUGAAGGGGGCGUGAUAGUACGGUGAGAAUAAGCAUCGGCUAACUUCGUGCCAGCAGCCGCGGUAA
rnacentral:rRNA from 1 species